rfam:Triticum aestivum genome assembly, contig: Triticum_aestivum_CS42_TGACv1_scaffold_320552_4BL
CAAGUACUCCCUCUGUCCGAAAAUAUUUGUCAUCAAAAUGGACAAAAAAGGAAUGUAUCUAGAACUAAAAUACAUCUAGAUACAUCCCUUUUUAUUCAUUUUGAUGACAAGUAUUUCCAGACGGAGGGAGUACUAC